rnacentral:tRNA from 1 species
GCCAGAGUGGUGUAGUGGUUUGAGUGUUGGACUAUGACUCUGGAGACCAGGGUUCAAAUUCCGGCUUGGACA